GGUGGAACAUGUCUUAUUUAAACCACUGACAUAUGUGGCCCCCUCUUCUCUCAGUGUGCCAAAGUGGUGACAUCAAACCAGGAUCUAAAAAGCUCGCUAAAGCCGUCCGUAUUUACAAAGAUCUCCUGCUUGUCCAAAAUACAUCGGUCCUUUUAGUAAACACGGGGAGAGACUUUCAUUUUAAUCAAGAGACAUUUUUUCCAGAGAUGGUCUGCUGAUUGUAUGUUAUUAUCUUUCUUGGAUGGUUCCAGAAACGCUGCUCUACGGGCUGCCAGGAGGCACAAACGAAGACACACCAACAGGGGUAAACAACAACAAUAACAACAGUUCUGAACCAACUUUUAAAAAGAAAUGCAAAAAUCUUUUUAUUCUGAAUAUCUAUGAAGUUGUGAUACAUUUACACACUGGGGACUGCAUAAAAGUGUGUUGAUUCAACUCCAUUUUGCUCAAAAUGUGGGAACAGUUAAGGUUAUUGCUAAUUUUAUUUUAUUUUAUUUUAGUCUUAACCUUCUUUAUCACUAGAAAUUCUUAAUUCUGUAAGCCCUAAAAUCUACAAUAGAGUGCUUUGUAUUUGUGACAACCUACAAAGAGGGGAAGAGAAAAAGACUGUAUCCCUUCAAUGGUCUAAAAACAAGUUUGAUCGGCGUGGAAAACACUCAAAAGGCCGUCCAUGUCGUUCGAUCCUGCGAGGCUCAUGCACUGGAGUCUGUUUUUGCUCCCGUUUUCUUUGCAGGACACGCGGGUCGACAGAAGAUGCAAGCGGGCCUGUCCGCGGUGAGGGGUUGUGACCGCCACAGGAUCCCCUGAGAACACUGCAGGGAGGAGCCGGCGUCCCUCAUCACAGCACAGGACAGACACUGACAACAAAAAAGGACAAAUAAAAGUUGAAGAGAAGAAAGUUGAAAACAUUUUUUUUUUUGGGUUAAGAAAUGUAAAGUGUGUUAGUCAUGAAUCAGCAUCAACACAUCAAGUCAACAGGAGGCCUUUUCAUUAAAAAACAUAAUCAUAAUAGUUCGUUUUUUCCCCCUAGAAGAGCAGAAACUGAUUUGUUUUUUGUUUGUUUUGUUCCAUUAAACAGGACAGGAAAAGGGUCCUUACCGGUUUUAAGGUCAAUAAGAGAAACAGCAGUCCAUGACAUCUUAUGCUGAGCCAUUUAAAAGUGCCAUUAGUGUGAGAAAAAAAUAAGCGUUCAUGUCCAUUAAGGAGGUAAGUCGAGUUACAAAAAUCAUCUGUGUUGCUUUUUAUCAUAUGUUUUGAAGGAAAAUAUAUUAUAUUGCCUUAUAUUACAUUAUAAGAAGAAUUUUUCUAAUGAAAAACAAUCUGCGUUUUUUUAAAUUUUUUUUAUUGAUGGAUGCUGAAUCUUGCUCAUACAUCUGCAUAUGCUGUGAUAAAGUUUAUGUUAUGUCUACAUACAUUGUCAUGUAAUUUAUUGAUGCAUUAAGGUAAAAAUGUCUGAUCAGAAGUUAUGACCCGGAAAAUGAUAAUUCAGGUAAAAGAAAUGGUAAAGUCGAGCUGGGUGGGGAUUAUAUAAGUUCGCUUCCGCCCACUUUAAAGCAAUCUAUAAUUUGAUGCCUUUUUAUCUUAUGUCUGACGUAACUUUGUACAAAUGUAUAUCUGUGUUGAUUGUACUUCACAUGCAUUCUUGUUUGAUUGCUUAAAAAAACAUUUAUCUUUAAUUAAAAAGUCCCACUUCAAUCACCUUUGAGACACUGUUAAUUAUGAUGAUGUCAUUCUAGCCCAAAAUAAUAAAAAAAAAAAAAACUGUCGUUUUCUAGGACAUAGUUUCUGCAGAGCGGCAAUCGUUCAUUAGGAUCCCGUCACCCAACUGUUUAUAUGUUCUGCAGCUAGCCUACAGCCCCCAACCGAACACUAGCUCUACAACAAAAACGGCGAGCAAUAAUGAAUAAUAUACAAACUGCAUUAUUUCAUUUAAUUCUGAUUCACAGCAAUUAGAAUAAAGAAAUAUUCAGAAAUGCCAUUUUGAGAUUAAUUUUCUUUAGAAAUGUUUUCAUCAUGAGAAAAAUACCACUAGAACACCACUUUCAUUGGAGUGGGUCUUUAAAAGAACCAACUGUUGCUAUGCAGCCACUUUGAAAAGGUUGUUUUAAAAACAGGAGCCGAUUUUUUUUUUUAUUCCCAAGACAAAAACAGCCAUCUUUUUGCACAAAAGUUAAACAUCCUGUCAAGUUUACCCCAAGGUCAGACCUCAAAAUGCUCUGACAAACUUACAAAACCCUCCACACUUCACUCCCAACAGAACGCCGUUUGCAUUUUAAAUACUAAGUGAGCUUCCUUUCAGCAACAUGAUUUGUUUGCUAAGCUCCUAU